GAAACCUCCAGCAGAACCAGGCUCAGGGAGGGGGGGUCAUCUGCUGAGGGGGGAGAGACAGAGAUUAAUAAUAACUAACAAUUAACAGGUAACAAAUGAACCAAGUGGUGCCCACAACAAAAGAUGUCAGGUGAACACAUUUGAAAGGACCAAUAUCCUUUCUCCUUACUAAAAUUAUUAUUAUUAUCAUGCCUCCAUGGGGUAGUGGUUAACACAAAUGUGCUUUACAAGCAAAAGGUCACUGCUUUCAUACCAGCCGGAGGCACGAAGGACAUCUGAUGCAAAACUCUGCAAAGUCAGCCCUGCAGAGCGAGCAGCCAAAAGUGUCUUUUAUUAAAAUAUAUAACUACUUAUGUAGUGAUCCCACUGGUCCAGAUGUAGCGCAGCUAAUUCAUGAUACUAAAAGAUAUUAAAAAUGUAAUUCUGGAGGAUGAUUGCUCACAAUUUGGCAACCCCAAUGGAAAACUUGUUGCUAUUAGUGACUUAAAUAGACCUUAUAAACUGCAUCAGUUUGUGUUGAUGCUGCUUUGGAUUUAUGAAACUUGUGAUUUAAGGUUCCAAAAACAAAGAUAUGAGUGUGCGUGAAGCUGCCAGCCUCCCUACAGGUAACUGCAGCUCGUUUUUAGGACAGUUUGAGUAAAAAGCAGUUUCAGAAAAAGAUGCAUUGUGACUUUUUUGUUGCUCUAUGUUGAAUAUAGAAAGACUUGGUGUUUUGUGGCGACUUUGAUUGGCUUUCUCAAAUUCUCCUGUGAGUUUCCGUUGGCUGAGUGGGGACAGCAAAGCUCUUUAGCAUCUUAUCUGCUUGUCCAACUGCUGUGACCGAGGGCCCGUUCUACUUCCUGUCCUAAUGCACUGCUGGAUAACAAAGAUCUCAGUGUGCAGAGUCAGGGAGGGGGUGUGGGGGCGAGGGCAGCUCCAAACAAACCACUGACUGCAUAAACACUCUUUACAGCAGCCUGAACCUCGGACUCAUGACGGAGAGACUGAAUGUAAAUGCCUACUAAAUGUGAUGAACAUUCUCCUUUUAUAGUGAGUGUUUAUGGGUGGCUCCGGGUGUGCUCGCAACUUUCAGUUUGUUCUUGCCGUGUUGCGCUUUUAUUUUGAAAGGUUAUGUUUACGGUUGCCAUGCCAACACUCUGCGGCCGUCUGGUUUGGCUCUACGUGUAGAUAACGUUGUGAGGUGGAAGACGAAGAAAGCCAAGUGUGCAGAGCUCGCUAGCGGAGAGGUCCGGGUCUAAAACUUGAUUAGCGCCCUUGGAGAGCGGAAUGAGUUUUCACGGUGUCAAGAUGGCAAAGUGUCACAGUACCACUGUCUGGUGCUUACCAAAGGAAGAGAAAUAAACGACACCCGUUUGAAACUCUACGUGUUUGGUUUAUACCAUCCAAGGGGCCGCUACAGUGAAAACUCAACGCUGCACCAGUCUGAAAAUUCCUGCGCUUAAGCCAUCAC